rnacentral:rRNA from 1 species
GAUGAACGCUGGCGGCGUGCCUAAUACAUGCAAGUCGAGCGAACAGACCAGGAGCUUGCUCCUCUGUCGUUAGCGGCGGACGGGUGAGUAACACGUGGAUAACCUACCUUUAAGACUGGGAUAACUUCGAGAAACCGGAGCUAAUACCGGAUAAUAUAUUGAAUCGCAUGGUUCUUUAUUGAAAGACGGCUUUGCUUUCACUUAUAGAUGGAUCCGCGCCGCAUUUGCUAGUUGGUAAGGUAACGGCUUACCAAGGCAACGAUGCGUAGCCGACCUGAGAGGGUGAUCGGCCACACUGGAACUGAGACACGGUCCAGACUCCUAAGGGAGGCAGCAGUAGGGAAUCUUCCGCAAUGGGCGAAAGACUGACGGAGCAACGCCGCGUGAGUGAUGAAGGUCUUCGGAUCGUAAAACUCUGUUAUUAGGGAAGAACAAAUGUGUAAGUAACUAUGCACGUCUUGACGGUACCUAAUCAGAAAGCCACGGCUAACUACGUG